rnacentral:rRNA from 1 species
UACGUAGGCAGCGAGCGUUGUUCGGAGUUACUGGGCGUAAAGGGUGUGUAGGCGGUUGUUUAAGUUUGGUGUGAAAUCUCCCGGCUCAACUGGGAGGGUGCGCCGAAUACUGAAUGACUUCGAGUGCGGGAGAGGAGAGUGGAAUUCCUGGUGUAGCGGUGAAAUGUGUAGAUAUCAGGAGGAACACCUGUGGCGAAAGCGGCUCACUGGACCACAACUGACGCUGAGGCGCGAAAGCUAGGGGAGCAAACAGG